ensembl:snRNA U7 U7 small nuclear RNA
GACUGUUACUGCUCUUUUAGAAUUUGUCUAGCAGGUUUUCUGGUCUUUACCAGAAAGUCUCC